rnacentral:rRNA from 1 species
CCUACGGGGUGCAGCAGUGGGGCAUAUUGCACCAUGGGGGAAACCCUGAUGCAGCGACGCCGCGUGAGUGACGAAGUACUUCGUUAUGUAAAGCUCUAUCAGCAGGGAAGAAAAUGACGGUACCUGAGUAAGAAGCCCAGGCUAACUACGUGCCAGCAGCCGCGGUAAUACGUAGGGGGCAAGCGUUAUCCGGAUUUACGGGGUGUAAAGGGAGAGGAGACGGCAGUGCAAUUCUGGCGUGAAAGGCGUGGGCUCCACCCCCGGACUGCUCUGGAAAAUGUACGGCUUGAGUGCAGGCGUGGUAAGUGGAAUUCCUAGUGUAGCCGUGAAAUGCGUAGAGAUUAGGAGGAACACCAGUGGCGAAGGCGGCUUACUGGACUGUAACUGACGUUGAGGCUCGAAAGCGUGGGGAGCAAACAGGAUGAGAUACCCCAGUAGUC